GAUGAAAACGUAGCGAAAUGCGAUAAGUAAUGUGAAUUGCAGAAUUCAGUGAAUCAUCGAAUCUUUGAACGCACAUUGCGCCCCCUGGUAUUCCGGGGGGCAUGCCUGUCCGAGCGUCAUUACAACCCUCAAGCUCAGCUUGGUGUUGGGCCCCGCCGCCCCGGCGGGCCCUAAAGUCAGUGGCGGUGCCGUCCGGCUCCGAGCGUAGUAAUUCUUCUCGCUCUGGAGGUCCGGUCGUGUGCUCGCCAGCAACCCCCAAUUUUUUUCAGGUUGACCUCGGAUCAGGUAGGGAUACCCGCUGAACUUAAGCAUAUCAAUAAGCGGAGGA
rnacentral:misc_RNA from 1 species